AAGAAAAUUGUAAAAAUGUUUCGGCGUCUUGAUUUAGUGAAUAAAAAUAUAAUAUUACGUUUAUAUAAUACUGAUGGAAAAUUAAAAUCCGCAAAUACUAUUAGAAAAGAAUUUCUCGAUUAUUUUUUAAAAGAUCAUUCAUUUGUUCGAUCGAGUUCUAUUUUGAAUAUAAAUGAUCCUUCUACACCUUUUGUAAAUGCGGGAAUGAAUCAAUUUAAAGGUGUAUUUUUGGGACUUUACGAUCCUCCAUUUUCAAGAAUUGCUAAUUCACAAAAAUGUAUUAGAAUUGGAGGAAAACAUAAUGAUUUAGAUGAAGUUGGUUUAGAUACUUAUCAUCAUACUUUCUUUGAAAUGCUGGGAAAUUGGUCCUUUGGAGAUUAUUCAAAAGAAGAAGCUUGUAAAUACGCGUGGAAUUUAUUGACACAAGUUUAUGGAAUUAAUAAAGAUCUUUUAUACGUAACUUAUUUUGCUGGCGAUGAAAAAUUGGGUUUAAAACCUGAUUUAGAAUGUAAAGAUAUUUGGCUCUGUUUAGGAGUGCCUGAAAAUCGUAUUUUAAAAUUGGGAGCCAAAGAGAAUUUUUGGGAAAUGAGUUCAACUGGUCCAUGUGGUGUUUGUACAGAAAUUCACAUUAGUGAAGCUGUUAAUAAACCUGUAAAUCUCAUGGAACUUUGGAACAUAGUAUUCAUACAGUAUGAAAGAUUAAAUGAUGGUCAAAUAAUUUCACUACCAAAGCAGCAUGUUGAUACGGGAAUGGGAUUUGAAAGAUUAGUUGCUAUUUUACAAGAGAAAAAAUCCAAUUACGAUACCGAUCUUUUUGUACCAUUAUUUAAGACUAUUGAAAAAUUUGCCAAAGCUCCGGCCUAUAACGGAAACGAGGGAAUUAAGAAUAAAAAUAAAUUGGAUACUUCUUACAGAAUUUUAGCUGAUCAUGCAAGAAUGGUGACUGUUGCUUUAGCCGAUGGAGCUCUGCCUGAUAAUAAUCCAAAAUUAAGAAAAGUUUUACGUAAAGCAUUGGAUAUAAGCAAUGAGAUAUUUAAAAAAGAUACAUUAUUACAUGAAUUAACUUUUCAUGUAGCGGACAGUCUUGGAGAAGCUUAUCCAGAAUUACACAAAAAUAUCAAACAGAUGCAACAUAUAAUUGCCUACGAAGCAGAUUCGUAUUAUUCAUUGAGAAAUAUUUCUUUUGUCAAGUGGAAAAAAAUUGUUAAAACUCAUCAGAAAUUAUCAGUACUUACUGAUUAUUUAACUCCUGGUUUAAUAGCAGGCUAUAAAGAUUUAAAAAACUUUUUAGCAUCUGAUAACAAGAUCAGUACACUGACAGGAGAGUUUGCAUUUAGAUUAUAUGAUAGUCAUGGGCUGAAUGUCAAGACAAUUGCCAAAUUAGCCGAAGUGGAAUCAUUAAAAUUUGAUGUUAAUGAUUUUGAGGAACAAUUAAAUAAAGUGAAAGCACGUUCCAAAGCAAAAACGGAAGGAAUAAUGAACAUGAAAUCAAUUACUGAAUUAUCUAUUGAUUUGUUAAGGAAAUUAAAUAUUCCAAUAACGGACGAUUCAUUAAAAUAUAAUUAUAAACUCAAUGAAAAGGAAUAUUCUUUUCCUUCUAUUAGAAGUAAACUAUUGGGUUUAAUUAUUAAUGGUAAUUUGAAAACUUCUUCGGAAAUGAAUGAUUGCCUUUUGAAGAAAGAGGAAUUAACGGAAUCAGAAGUAUAUAUUAUUCUCGAUAAAACUCCAUUCUAUGUUAAUGAAGGUGGUCAAGCAUUCGAUAAAGGUUUUAUUCAAAUUAACAGUCUUCUUUUUGAUAUUUACGAAGUGAGAAAAAUUUGUGGAUUCAUUUUUCAUAUUGGUCAUUUAAUUAAUAACGAUUCUAGAAGAAUUUCUUUAAAUGAAUCGGAUUUAAAUAUAAAAAAUGAAGAAGUGUGUCAAGUUUGGAUAAAUUCAAGAAGAAGAUUAGGUAUAAUGAGAAAUCAUACUGCAACACAUUUAUUAAAUGCAGCACUUAGAAAAGUUUUACCAAUAAUAGAACAACGUGGUAGUUACGUUGAAAAAGAUAAAUUAUCAUUUGAGUGCAGUGUAUUUGGUCAAAAAUUGACUAAUGAACGAGUGACAGAAAUAGAAGAUCUUAUAAAUAAAUGCAUUGAAAGCAAUGUAAUUGUUGAGAAAAAAAUUUUUAAUAUGUCAGAAAUGAUAAUGGAAGAUGAUUUAAGAUUAUUACCAGGUGAAAUGUAUCCAAUGACAGGAAUUAAAAUUACAACUAUUGAUAGUCCAGAUUUAAAAUCAAAAGAAGCUUGUUGUGGAACUCAUGUUCUUAGAACAAGUUCCCUGGAACAUUUUUGUAUUUUAAAUGUUAAAUCACAUGGACAAAAAAGCGUUACAAUUGAAGCAGCCACUGGACCCUAUAUGCGACAUAUUCGUUCAUUAGGGGAGAGAUUAAGAGAGAAUAUUAUAAAACUCCAAAAAGAAUUUGUGCGUAAAAAUGCAAAUAUGAAUCAAAUAACUGAUUCAAUUAAUUGUUUGCAACGAAAUUUAUUAGAAAGAAGAGAUAAAAGAAUAAUAAGCUUUGUCGAUUAUCGUGAAUGUCAGGAUAAACUUUCAGAAUUGGCAAGAAAAGUUAUGAUCAGAAUAAAAGGAAAUUAUAGGAAUUAUUUGGCAAAUGAAAUUAAAAAAGCCCAAAAAUCAACGAAUCUACCAUUUGUGAUACUUCAUUUAAAAUUAGAUGAAUAUGAUUUUAAUGAAUUACCAUUGAGUAAAUUAGAUAAAAUGACAAAUAUUCCAGUAUUAGUGAUUUUAAGCACUAAUACACAAGUGACAGCAAGGUGUAUGGUUCCAAAGGAAAUCAAUUCCGAGUUAUUUAACGCUAAAAUUUGGAUGGAACCAAUAUUAAAAUUAUUUGAUGGACAACAAUAUUUCCCUACUCAUAAAAAUAAAAAUUUAAUAUUUGGAAUGCCACCGCAAAAUAUGUCACAAAGAAAAUCGGAACCAAUUAUUGAAAAAGCUUUAGAUGAGAGUAAUCGUUUAUGAGACUUCAUUCAAGGAAUGAUUACCCUUAGAGGAAAACUGAAAAAAGAUGCAGAUGUUUCUAAUUCAAAAAAUAAAGACCUGAAUUAUAAACGAAUAUCUGUUCGAGAUAAACUGCUCGUCAAGGAGGUUCAAGAAAUGGAACAAACUUUGCCGAUUACUUGUAAAGUUUCAUUCAACGAUCCUCAUCGACUUCAUGAAUUUAAUCUUCUAAUAAUUCCCGAUGAAGGAUAUUGGUGCGGUGGACGUUUCUGCUUUCAUAUAUUUAUACCCGAAGA